rnacentral:rRNA from 1 species
CCUACGGGAGGCAGCAGUGAGGAAUAUUGGUCAAUGGGCGGAAGUCUGAACCAGCCAAGUAGCGUGCAGGAUGACGGCCCUAUGGGUUGUAAACUGCUUUUAUACGGGAAUAACGCGCCUUACGUGUAGGGUUUUGUAUGUACCGUAUGAAUAAGGACCGGCUAAUUCCGUGCCAGCAGCCGCGGUAAUACGGAAGGUCCGAGCGUUAUCCGGAUUUAUUGGGUUUAAAGGGUGCGUAGGCCGCAUGUCAAGCGUACGGUGAAAUUUCCGGGCUCAACCCCGGCCUUGCAGCGCGAACUGGCGUGCUUGAGUCGGCGGAAAGCAGGCGGAAUUCGUGGUGUAGCGGUGAAAUGCUUAGAUAUGACGAAGAACCCCGAUUGCGAAGGCAGCUUGCUGCAGCGGAACUGACGCUGAUGCUCGAAAGCGCGGGUAUCGAACAGGAUUAGAUACCCCAGUAGUC